AUGGCGGCGAGACCCCUGCUUCUGCUCGCCCUCCUCCUCGCCACCACGGCCCUCGCGGUCGCAGCCACCGGCCGCGGCGGCGCGGAGGCCGUCGGGAUGCCAGGCGGGUGGUUCCCCAUCCCGGACGUGGAGGACGCGCGCAUCCAGGAGCUCGGCGGGUGGGCAGUGGCGCGGCACGCGGGCCUGGUGGCGGGCGACCGCGGGCUGAGGUUCGGCCGGGUGACGCGCGGCGAGCAGCAGGUCGUCUCCGGGAUGAACUACCGCCUCCUCGUCGACGUGGCGGACGGCUCCGGCAGGGCCGCGCCCUACAUCGUUGUGGUGUACGAGCAGUCCUGGACCAACACCCGCCGGCUCACCUCCUUCAGCCCGGCGGCCUGCGGCUAG
rnacentral:rRNA from 1 species